AGGUGAUGAUAUUUUUAGGAAGCAGAAUUUGAAUGCCCACCAACUCAAAUGUUGAAGCCUACAAAUAUAUCAUCCAAGCUUUCAUUUAUGAUUGUUCAUGCUUUUAAAUUGUGAUGUCAGAAUUUGAUAAAGUGUGCACUGCUAGGUGUAGGAAAUCAUUGCUUAUUAAAUCUACUCUGUUAUCUAAUAGCACCAAACUAAUAGAGCUAUCACAUAACUGAGAAACUUGUGUGGCUUAUUAUAAAUGGAUGAAACCACAUUUUACCUUAAUGAAGACAGUAAUCUUUAAUAAGGUGUAGAAAAAAAGAGGUGAGUUGUUUGUUGCUGUGGUAAACAAAGAAGUGUACUGAAUCUUUUGGACUACACAGAGUGAUGCAGUAUUGAUUGUGAUGCUGAUUUGAGUUGUUUCAUUCUGUGUUUUUGUGCUUUGUCUUUUGUUACACAGAGUGAAAGAAAUCUUUGGUUUUGCCUUUGCUGACUGCUGAUCUGAUCGUCUCAAGUCUGGUGACCUGCUGCAGAAAACCCUCUCCUCUAUCGUUGACAAGCAAUUAACAAGCAAAUUCAGUCUGUCCUAUCACUCUCCCUCUCCCUGCUCCAUCUUUUUUGACAAGCCAUUCUAUCUUCUAUCAUUUCUCCGCCAUGAGCUCUAUCUAAUUUGACAAGCUUAAACCUGUGUUGACAAGAAACCAAGUUUGACAAGAAACCAAGUUUGACAAGAAACCAAGUUUGACAAGAAAUUGAAGUUACCACAACUUCGUCGAUCUGUUUUCAGAAAUCUGAGAGAUCUCCGCUCUCACUGCUCUUUCUUUCCUGAAAUUAAACUCUCUCAUAUCCACUCAUUUUGCUGGAAAUUACAAGUAAAAAGUUGAAUAUACAGUAGUGGAAUUACAGUACAGUAGAACUCACUGUAGAAACUACUCACAGAGCCCUACAUUUGUCAUCUUAAUUUUGCAUUACACUUUGAAAUAAACACUGAUAGUUUGGCUUAGAAGUGCAAUUAUUUUGAUAAAUUAUAUAAAAUAUACACCUUUUUUGAGAUUUAUUUGUAGUAAGAUAAUCUGGUUAUUUUGUAAUACAUACAUUCAGACUGUUAUAUUCACAUAAAUAUUAAAUUUGAUUCAAAUACAUUUUUCAAGUCUAUUUCAUUGGCUAUAACAUUUGACUACAAGUUUAUACUAUUAUUAUUUAAGGACAAAGCCUUUUUGUCACUCAGUGUAAGUGUUCAGUUACAGUUGUCAUCUAGAGGCUCUCCUGAGAACCCAGAUUUCCUGUUUCCUGACUGCUGCAGAACAUCCAGCUGAAGAAUCCUCAUCACCUGUCAUCUGAUCACCACACCAUCACAGC
ensembl:lncRNA